UCUCCCGCAAGGGAGCAGUCUCGCCUGACCAUAUAGGUAACAGACAACGAAGGUUGCGUUCGUUACCCCACUGAAGGGAACAGUUCAAACCACGAACUGACGACGACCGUGCACCACCUGUCCAGCACCCUCGAAGGCUCCUCGUGUUUCCACAAGGAUGCAGCUGGAUUUCUAAUCUUGGUAAGGUUCUUCGUUUGUCGACGAAUUGAGCCACAUAAUCCACCGCUUGUGCGAAUCCCCGUCUAUUCCUUUGAGUUUUAAGCUUGCGCUCGUACUACCCAGGCGGCUCGCUUACCGCGUUAGCUUAGUCCCGCAGAGGGUCGAUACUCCGCGAAACGAGCGAGCAACGUUGAGGGCCAGGACUAC
rnacentral:misc_RNA from 1 species